GGAGCGGCCGUAACAUCUCUGGAGGUGGGGGUGGGGAGCCAGCGCUUCCUAUAAGGAGGUUCCCUGGAGGAGAGUUCUCCUUCGGGUCCUGCACCUGGCAUCUGGCAAGAUGGAGCCUCUGCAGCCACGGGUGGCCAUUGUGGGCAGUGGAAUCAUCGGAUGCAGCUGGGCCAUGGUUUUUGCCUCAGGUGGAUUCCAAGUCAAACUUUAUGAUAUUGUGCAAGAGCAGGUUACAAAAGCCUUGGAAAAAAUUAGCAAACAAAUGAAAGAAUUAGAAAAGACAGGAAUGCUGAAAGGUUCACUGAAAGCUGACCAACAACUUUCUCUCAUUACUGGUUGUACGGAUUUAAAAGAAGCAAUAGAGGGCGCCAUUCACAUUCAGGAAUGUACACCAGAGGAUCUAGAACUGAAAAAGAAGAUUUUUGGCCAGUUAGAUCUUAUUGUCAGUAAUGAUGUGGUUCUAAGCAGUUCAACCUCCUGUCUUUUGCCUUCAAAAUUGUUUACAGGAUUGAAACAUGUCAACCAGUGUAUAGUUGCACAUCCUGUAAAUCCACCAUAUUAUGUGCCUUUGGUUGAGUUGGUUCCCCACCCAGAAACAGAUCCUUGCAUAUUGGAGAAGACCUAUGCUCUCAUGAAGAAGAUUGGACAAUCACCAGUUAAACUAAUAAAAGAGGUUGAUGGGUUUGCCCUGAACCGACUCCAGUAUGCAGUUAUUAGUGAAGCAUGGAGACUUGUUGGAGAGGGACUAAUAUCUGCUACUGAUCUGGACCUUGUGAUGACUGAUGGCUUGGGAAUGCGAUAUGCCUGUAUAGGACCUCUGGAAACAAUGCAUCUAAAUGCAGAAGGAAUGCUGAACUAUUGCGACAGAUACCGUGAAGGUAUGAUACGUGUCUUGAAAAGUUUUGGGCCAAUACCAGAUUUUUCAGGGGAGAUAGAACAAAAGAUCAAUCAGGCAAUGUGCAAAGAAACACCAGCUGACCCAGAGCAUUUAAAUGCCAGGAGACGCUGGCGAGAUGAGUAUCUUGGGCGCUUGGCCAAACUGAAAAAGGAAAUAAAGUCUGAUGGCAUGAAUCAUCUUUAGGUCAUACAUAGGCCAGUCACCAUCAGAGUGUUGUUCAAAUGGGUACAUCCUUUCCAGAGGCAAAUGUUAAAUCAUGGAAGACAUGAUUGCAAAUGGAAGAAGCCAGUUAAUCUGCACAUCUAUAGUCAAUUUAUUAAGGAUCAGGGUUUUGAAAAUCUGAGUAUCAUCAGAAACUAGUUAUAACUGAAGGCUAAAACUUUGUGAGGCACUUGAAUGCCCAUACUGCAUUUUUGAGACUGAAAGCCACGAUGUCAUGCCGUUUUACAAAAAGACAGAUCUAAUUUUGUUUAGAGAUAACCAACAGCUAUAUGAAGAUUGGCACAAGAUUUCUAUUGAAUUUUAAAACCAGAUUUUUGAUUUUCAUAAAUAAAGUGUUCUCAUUGCUAGCCACCAUGAUAUAAGAUUUUUAAAGCUUAUGUGAAGAAACAGAUUAUGUGAAGAAAUAGUUUUAACUUGGGCUGACUAGUGACUGUCUUUUUGGUAGUAAGGAUGCUGCAGUCUAGGAGGCAACUCUCAGUGGUAAUCUUUGUAGACCUCACACAGGGGAAUGAAUACUCUCUGGUGCUAUUACAAAGCUGGGGAGUACAGUAAACACUUCAGUGGUCUUCUUGCUGUGUUAUAUUUAUGCAACAUGGGGAAUUAUUCUGAAUUUUCCUUCAUGUCUUAACCAAUCUUCCAAAGGAGGUUUAAAGACUAUAGACCAUGUAGAAAGUUCAGCUCCACCUCUCUCCCGCAUUUGAAGUAUCUUUAUCAAGGACAUGAAUUUCUCUUCUCAGAUGCUCAAAUUAUGGAAUUCCUUCUGCUGGAAGUCUGUAAAUCAGUGGAGACAGUACUAUUUAGAUGGACCUUCAGCUUGAAUUCAUUAUCUGAUAUAACUGGCAGUGCAUUUCAUGCUGCCCUCUUUAUUAUGACUUUUUAAAAAUAAAAAAAAUAACAGAAUUGUUUUUAUUAAUGAUUGCAUAGUGCUUUGGAACUUUUCACCCGCAAAGGAACAUACACCUUUUAAAAAUCAAGAAAUAACAGAAGGACUCCUGUGUUGCAGUGUUGCAGUCACAAGCAUGCAGUGUAACUGCUUUGUUGAUUCCCAGUCACGAGUGUGGCACCCUGUCUUUGCUGUCCCAACUUCCAUACUUUCUGGGGGGAAAGAAGAAGAGUGAGAGUGACACAAUAAAACACGAUGCCACAUUGCUAAUUCUAUCAUCACACUAUGAACUAUGGCUGACCCUCCUCCUUGUGGCUGAAGUGCAUGAGAGGAGAUCAUCUAUGAGGUAGGACCACCACUCUGAAAGCAAAUAAGUUUAUAUAGUUGUUCACUGAGGGGGAGACAAACCAAACUGAUGUAUAUAAUUGAGCAGAAUUGUACUGAUAUGGUUCAAGGUUUAAAAGUAAAUUCAGUAUCUGUUGAUUAUUUAAGAAAUUUUGUUCACAUCUGUAAGUCACCUGUUGUCUUCUGAUAAUGUAACAUUUGACAAAUUAAAUAGAUGAGGUUGCAGCAUUGAUAAGUAUUAGGACUUUCCAUUUCAUUCAUGCUCUUUCACCUUUUAGUUUCUUGUAGAACAUGCGGUACACUGGAAGCCCUAAGGUUGUAUGCUUUAAUGUUAAUAACAGGUUUUUCACACCCACUUAAUAGUACAAGUACUACUAUUUUUAUUGGGAAUAAUGAACAUUAAAACUGGUAUUUAAGAUCUAAAAUCCUUUGACCCUUGAAUACAGACAAUAGAUUCCAGAAUGUUCAAAAUGAAAUUUCUCAAUUCCUGUUAUUGUAUCUCUUCUGGCAUCACUCUGUUGCAGGUUCCUUUUUCUAAAAUAAACACAAACUGCUUAAUAAAUGCAAA